GGCAAUAGCUCAAAUUUGAAAUCUGGCUCUUUCAGAGUCCGAGUUGUAAUUUGUAGAGGAUGCUUCGGCUUACGUCUCGGUCUAAGUUCCUUGGAACAGGACGUCACAGAGGGUGAGAAUCCCGUUUGUGGCCGCGACUUCCGCCAUGUGAAGCUCCUUCGACGAGUCGAGUUGUUUGGGAAUGCAGCUCUAAAUGGGAGGUAUAUUUCUUCUAAAGCUAAAUACCGGCCAGAGACCGAUAGCGCACAAGUAGAGUGAUCGAAAGAUGAAAAGCACUUUGGAAAGAGAGUUAAAAAGUACGUGAAAUUGUUGAAAGGGAAGCGCUUGCGACCAGACUUGCCCGCGGAUGCUCAACCGGUCCUUCGGCCGGUGCACUCUUCCGCGGUCAGGCCAGCAUCAGUUCGAGCAGUCGGAUAAAGGCCUUGGGAAUGUGGCUCUCUUCGGGGAGUGUUAUAGCCCUAGGUGCAAUACGGCUUGCCUGGACUGAGGCCCGCGCUUCGGCUAGGAUGCUGGCGUAAUGGUCGUAAGCGGCCCGUCUUGAAACACGGACCAAGGAGUCUAACAUCUAUGCGAGUGUUUGGGUGUCAAACCCGUGCGCGAAAUGAAAGUGAACGGAGGUGGGAACCUUUGGGUGCACCAUCGACCGAUCCUGAUGUCUUCGGAUGGAUUUGAGUAAGAGCAUAGCUGUUGGGACCCGAAAGAUGGUGAACUAUGCCUGAAUAGGGUGAAGCCAGAGGAAACUCUGGUGGAGGCUCGCAGCGGUUCUGACGUGCAAAUCGAUCGUCAAAUUUGGGUAUAGGGGCGAAAGACUAAUCGAACCAUUCCAGUUGUGGGGGGUUACAUGCUGGCGUCUUGUAAAGUUGGUUUGUUUUUCGAAAGAAUUACAAAUCUCUCGUUGGGGGAGUGAAUCCCUUCAUUCUAGAGAGGU
rnacentral:rRNA from 1 species